rnacentral:rRNA from 1 species
CCUACGGGUGGCAGCAGUGGGGAAUAUUGCACAAUGGGGGAAACCCUGAUGCAGCGACGCCGCGUGAAGGAAGAAGUAUUUCGGUAUGUAAACUUCUAUCAGCAGGGAAGAAAAUGACGGUACCUGACUAAGAAGCCCCGGCUAACUACGUGCCAGCAGCCGCGGUAAUACGUAGGGGGCAAGCGUUAUCCGGAUUUACUGGGUUGAAAGGGAGCGUAGGCGGUUUAGCAAGUCAGAAGUGAAAGCCCGGGGCUCAACUCCGGGACUGCAUUUGAAACUGUGGGACUGGAGUGCAGGAGAGGUAAGUGGAAUUCCUAGUGUAGCGGUGAAAUGCGUAGAUAUUAGGAGGAACACCAGUGGCGAAGGCGGCUUACUGGACGGUAAAUGACGCUGAGGCUCGAAAGCGUGGGGAGCAAACAGGAUUAGAUACCCCGGUAGUC